rnacentral:rRNA from 1 species
GACGAACGCUGGCGGCGUGCUUAACACAUGCAAGUCGAACGGAAAGGCCCUGCUUUUGUGGGGUGCUCGAGUGGCGAACGGGUGAGUAACACGUGAGUAACCUGCCCUUGACUUUGGGAUAACUUCAGGAAACUGGGGCUAAUACCGCAUAGGAGCUCCUGCUGCAUGGUGGGGGUUGGAAAGUUUCGGCGGUUGGGGAUGGACUCGCGGCUUAUCAGCUUGUUGGUGGGGUAGUGGCUUACCAAGGCUUUGACGGGUAGCCGGCCUGAGAGGGUGACCGGCCACAUUGGGACUGAGAUACGGCCCAGACUCCUACGGGAGGCAGCAGUGGGGAAUAUUGCACAAUGGGCGGAAGCGUGAUGAAGCAACGCCGCGUGCGGGAUGACGGCCUUCGGGUUGUAAACCGCUUUCGCCUGUGACGAAGCGUGAGUGACGGUAAUGGGUAAAGAAGCACCGGCUAACUACGUG